rnacentral:rRNA from 1 species
AGGACGAACGCUGGCGGCGUGCUUAACACAUGCAAGUCGAACGGUAAGGCCUUUCGGGGUACACGAGUGGCGAACGGGUGAGUAACACGUGGGUGAUCUGCCCUGCACUUUGGGAUAAGCCUGGGAAACUGGGUCUAAUACCGAAUAUGACCAUUGGUUGCAUGACUGGUGGUGGAAAGCUUUUGCGGUGUGGGAUGGGCCCGCGGCCUAUCAGCUUGUUGGUGGGGUUAAGGCCUACCAAGGCGACGACGGGUAGCCGGCCUGAGAGGGUGUCCGGCCACACUGGGACUGAGAUACGGCCCAGACUCCUACGGGAGGCAGCAGUGGGGAAUAUUGCACAAUGGGCGCAAGCCUGAUGCAGCGACGCCGCGUGAGGGACGACGGCCUUCGGGUGUAAACCUCUUUCAGUAGGGACGAGCGCAGUGACGGUACCUACAGAAGAAGGACCGGCCAACUACGUGCCAGCAGCCGC